UACGGAGGAUCCGAGCGUUAUCCGGAUUUAUUGGGUUUAAAGGGUGCGCAGGCGGGAGAUUAAGUCGGCGGUGAAAUUUUGCGGCUCAACUGUAAAAGUGCCUUCGAAACUGGUCUCCUUGAGUGUAGAUGAAGUAGGCGGAAUUUGUGGUGUAGCGGUGAAAUGCAUAGAUAUCACGAGGAACUCCAAUUGCGCAGGCAGCUUACUAAACUACUACUGACGCUCAGGCACGAAGGCGUGGGGAUCAAACAGGAUUAGAUACCCUGGUA
rnacentral:rRNA from 1 species